rnacentral:lncRNA from 1 species
CGUCAUGUGGUCAUUAUCUAGUAUAUGUGAAAAGAUAGAGAAUUAAGCGUUUUAGUUUAAUGAAGAUCAAAUUAAAGACUCUUGUAGCGAUCACAUCUUGUGGUCGCCAAACUAAAAUAGAAAUCGAGAUAAAGUCCCUCUUCUCCCCAAUUUCAGAUACAAGAAAAAACCUAAUUUCAGAGACAAAGUUCCUUGCUUCCUUACCAUCGGUGACUGCUUAGCCAUUCCGAUUCCUUCUUUCGUCGCUCAAGUUCAUAAGUCUCUUUCUCUCUCAAGUUUUUGUUGUUUCUCUCUCUAUAUCUCUCUCUUUUCUCUCUUAAUUUUAUAUGUAUCAAUGUUACUCCAAUGGCAGAUUCAAGCUCCAUUCUUUAUCUUCCCCACACACACAUUGCUAUUAAAAAGAACUCCUCCUUCUCUCAGCAAGACAAGGUCAGCAACCAUGAACUCUCCCUCAUACAGUUUCGUUAAUUUUUUUUUUAAAUUUAUGGGUUGGGUUUAAUUGUUAGUUUUAAUUAAUUUGCUUUCAUAUGGGCAAGCAUUAGUUUUUGAGUCUAAAUGUUGAGUUUGAAGUUAUGGAUAUGCAAUAGCUUUUUUUGAGUGUAAUUGAUUUUUUACUGCUGUUCAUAGUUAAUUUUUAUUGUUAAUUUGUUAGGUUUUGAAAUUGGAUUUUGGUGUUGUUAAUUUGGUGCUUUGUUUAUCCCAUAUUUCUUUUCUUAGUUUAUAAUGUAUAACAAAACACCAAUAUUAUUUCAAUUUGACUCUUGUAUGCCUAAUUUCAUGUAGUUAAUUUAGUGUUGAGAUUAAUAGUAUUAUCUGUAGAUGUUUUAGUUUUAAUAGUUGAACUAUUUUUCCAAACUGUUUUCAAGAACAAAUCAUUUGCAUAUUUAUUCUUUUAACAAGUUUUGUUUAUUUUUCUAAUUAUUUGUUAUUUGAAAACUAGUUUAUAGAAAUAGGUUGAGAAAGAUUUUGCAAGUUGUUGAUAAAAUCAAUAAUUGAUAAGAAAUGCUCUGAGUAGGAGAUAACAACUUUAUUCAAGUCAUGCAAUAAUGUUGUAUGUGUAUAUGAACAUGCAUACUCGGAGGAAGUAUAGAUAAAUAUGUUUGUCUGUGUGUAAGUUGAGAGAGAGAAUUAAGAGUCAGAAAAUAAGUCAUUGCAUUUUUAUUGAAUUUGGACUGGUUUAUCCAUGUUGCAUGAUGAAUUUAAUAAGACAUAAAUAGAACAAAUAUGGAAAUAAAAAGAAGAAAAGACAAACCAAAUAACCAAAUGCAGCAAAAUCAAUUAUUUUUCAAAGGGCCUAGUGUUGAUAGAGAUAAUUGUCCACAACAUUGGAAAGAUGGAAUUCUAAAGGAAUCAAGAUCUUCACUAGAUACAUACAAAAAUUGCAUUCUUUGAAUGUUUAGAGUCUUCAAAAGUAGACUUAGUACAGAGAACACGUAGAUACCCAAGAGCUAGACUAGACAACCUCUUUUUGGCUGCAAUGAAUUAGUGCAAUAGCAUAGUAAAAUGGGACUAUGUUUUGUAACUUCAUAGGUUCCUCAAACUUGUCAUUCAGUAAAUACAUGCAUGCACUGUGCUAUAUAUUUAUAUUGGGAAUUCAAUUUGUUUUUUAUGCAUUUUCACAUAUUAAACCUUUAUGGAUUAGUGAUGUCAAAUUAAGAUGAGAAAGAUGAAAAUCUUCAAGCUCUACGAAUUGGUGGCAGUAUCUGAACUUAUCAUCAGAGAACGAAAGAGAUUCCGCCCCCGACCUCGUGGAAAAGAUAAGUACUGGACUAGUAAGAGGGGACCUUGCAAAACAAAAUUCCUCCAUUGUCCGAUCAAGGCUCUUAUCUUUUCUUUCUUUAUAGGCAGCAUAUAAACGAAUGUUUAAAUGGAAAUAUAUAUGAAAGGAAAUCUGAUGCGCGCUAUCCGCAGACAAGUGCACCGAUCGUAUCAAGUAAUAUAAUAAUAAACAAGAGUAACAUUCUACUAGGAACCUAAUUGUGAGUACUACCUUCAAUCAUACACUAAUGUUUAGAAAUUAAAAUAUUGUUUGGGUGUAAGAAUAUUUACAAGUAAAACAAUCUUAAAUAUAAAGAUUAAAACAAUUAGUAACUUAUUAAGGAUAAAGCCUAUUUAGGUAGUAAAUUCUCCUAAUAAGUUAAAUAUUUUAUGAAACAAAUAACAAUUAAUUCAAAUCAAGAGUUGAGUUGGUAUUCUACAAAAUUAUUUAAACCUUUCUCAAGUGAUUAAACCCCUAAUUCCUAAGAAGAGGUAAUGAAUCUCUUCUCAAACCCACUCAUUUAGGUUAUGCAUUAAUAUUAAGGAACUAUUUAACUAAAGGAUCUUGUAGAUCUAUCUCUAGUAUCCCAGUCAAUCCUCAAUCUCUAAGAUGUGAUCGAUUCAUAAAAAGUUAUCUCUAAUCAGUUUAUGAAAACAAAUCCCAAUCAAUACAUCGAAUUAUAAUUGAAAUAUAUAAUUAAGCAAUCAAAGAAAAAACACAACUCAUAAAAAAAUCAAUUGCAUUAACUUUAAAUCAAUCAGUACAAAAUUAAUUAGGGUUCAUUAAACCCAAAUAGCAAGAAAAUUAGUUUCUAGACAUGACGAUAAAGAUUAGGGAAAAAAGAUCUCAAACCAGUCAUGGAAGAGUAUAAAUGAAAAUUUUCAAUCUUGAAUCCUCAAUCUUCAAAAGCAAUGAAGGAAAUGAUGUUCUUCCUUGAGAAAAUAGUAAUUAAAACCCUAAAAUUGAAAGAAAGAUGAAAUUUCUAAGUGUUUCUCUCUCUAGAAGUGAAAAUAUGAUGAAACUUCCUCAAAACAAUCCUAAAAGUUCCUUUAGAUAGUGUAUUUUUAUUAUUGACACGGGGACCACAUGGGCACCACACGGCCGUGUGACGUCCUUAGCUUUUCGUAGCUUGAAUAUGUGUUUCUGUCUGUUUUUUACUUUACGAGCUAUUUUAUGGCAUCUUCGAAAUCGAGUUGAGGCUUAUGUCCUUCAUCAAAGUUGUAUAUUUUGAAAAGUAGUUCAUUUUAUAAUUUUGAAUCACCUCAAUUAGAUCUCUCUAACUCUAGAUAAAUUCCAAACACCAAGACCGACUCAAAUAGAAACGGACUGCACAACAUCUAACUUCGAUCUAAUUUUUCUCAUCUUUAGAAACCUAAUAUGGAGUUGACCCAUUCAUAAGAAUUAUAUCUUAGGAUGUCCUCUACAAAGUUUAUGAAGAGCACUGUUCAAUUAUGGACCUGUAAGAUUAUGAAAAACUGGAUUGAAGCUAAUGCGAUCAAAUCUGCAUAAUGCUGAAAUUCGCUUGUCAGUCUGACACUGGAAGCACAUGCCCGUGUGGGCUUCCUGUGUGGACCUUUAUGUAAUCUGCCAUUUUUUACAACUCAUAUGGGAAGACCACCUGCCUGUAUAGCUUCCCGUGUUAGAUAGAAUUUUGGAUAAAUAUGCCUUUUCUUUGCCUGAUUCUCAUGCUUUUUAAUUCCAUUUGACUCCUUGACAUGUAUUAUCCUUAAAGUGCCUAAAGGAACUGAAAAUCAAGUUUGAACAAAUAAAUCAAACUCAAUUGAAGGUAAAAUUAAUUAAAAUAAAGCUCAAAAGUAAGUGUCUUUAGCACUCAUCAAAAUCUUAAAUUUAAUGUCAAUUUCUUUUCGUUCUCUGUGUAUCUCUUAUUGGAAAGGAACUAUUAAGAAGAUUAUUGUUGAGGUCUACAUUUUUCAAAACUUUCAAGUUAGUUGGAUUUGUAAUAAAAUAAAUAUGAAUAUAAGUAAACUGAGUGAAAAUUGAUAAAAUUUAAAUUUCAUAAAAUAGAUAAUUAAUACAGCAAAUGUACGUACCGUCUUGAAAGGCUUCUUGCAUCAAAUUAAGACUAAGAUCUAGAAUUUUAUGGGAUGUGACUACCCCCAAUGAUUGUAGAAUACUACUCUCCGUGAACUGGUUUCUAGUAAGUUUCAAUGUCUUCAACUUCUGAAAUUUUGAUAAACAUUAAAAAUGAAGUAAUACAAUCAGUAAUUAUUUGCAGUAAUUAACCAGGAAACUACAUCAUUACAUUAAUAUUUCUUUAUUUUAAGUACCUUCUGUACUUAUAGAGCCAUUGAAGUUGUUAAAGCUUAAAUCUAAAAGUGUCAGGUUUUUUUAUGGUUGCCAGUUCUGUAUUCAUCACCAAGAAAUGAAAAUUCAUGGCAAGGAACUCAAUAAUCUUAAAUUGUUUACAUAACAUCAUAAAAAUAAAAUUAAUUUUUUAAUUUUAAAAAAUUUAUAUUUAGAAAAUAAUAAAAUAAAAUAUAAAAAUCAUAAUUUAUACUCCGUAAAGCUAUACCAAAUGGCAGUGGUAUAUCUACGAGUUAUCAAAAUCAGUACUAAAUGAACAAUGUAAAUGUAAAAGCACAAUUUGAAAGAAUAUAAUACCUUCAACUGGAAAGGUUGCUUGAAAUUUAUUGCCAACAAGACUCAAACUCUCAAAUUUGCGAAAACCCUUGGAAAUAUUAACAAAUUGAACUUUUAAAAAAUUAACAAAUAUGGGAAACAUAUGGUGAUGAUUUUAUGCUCCACAUGCAUAUUUUGCUUUUAUAGUUUUAGUCCUUCAAAUCUAUUUGUAUUUUUAUUAGGUCCUUGCAUUGUUAAUGUUUUUGAUAUUCAUGACCUUUCUAACUAUUUUGAAGCACAAAAUAUAAUUAGAUUUGCUUUCAUCAAUUAUUGGGGCUUUUAAAAUGACAUUGUUAUAAAUUGGUGAGAACUUUAUAAUUUUGAUAGCUUCACUAGUAUAUACAUAAUAGAUAACUGUUGUAAUUUUAGUAUUAAGACUUGAAUAAAUAAUUAUUUUUUAAUAUAGUUUUUGUAUGAAGAAGUUUCUUAAUAUGACCUUGAUUCUUAGAAAUUGAAAAAUACUUUGUUUAGUUAUUUACUAGUAUUGAUUAUGUUGUAAUUAUAGAAGAACAUGAGUGAUGAUCGAAGCUGGAUAUAUCAAAAGCUAAUAAAUGGCCUUCUCAAUCCUAAGUUUGUUGAUAGUAUUGACAAAUUCAUUGAUUUUACAUGUACUCGUCUAGAAUAGAUGGACAAAGAAAAAAUAAAGUGUCCAUAUCCAUGCAAUAAGUGUUAGAAUCGUUAGUACUUAGAUGUUGAGACGAUGAAAUUACAUUUUCUGAGAUAUGGCUUCUUAUCGGAAUAUUAUGUAUGGACAAGACAUAGGGAGACAGAGGCAAGGACCCUUCAGCCAGUUUUUUUCAUUUGAGGAACUUGAAAUAAUGGUUAACAACUAGUAGUAGACAAUAGUGAUGGAUGCUGCUGGACCUUUAUUGAAUCCGAAUUUCGAUGGGCAAGAAAAUCCUAAUAUCGUGGCACAAGAAUUCUAUGAUAUGCUAAAUGUAGCAGAUAAUCUGUUGUGUCCCGAUUGUCAAACCCAUUCACAGUUAUCUCUAGUUUCUAGAAUGCUGAAUAUCAAGGCUGAUCACUAUUUGUUAGAGCAUGCUUUUGAUGCAUUUGCUCAAGUAAUCAAAUAGGACGUGCCGAAAGACAAUCUUGCCACUGAAAACUUUUAUGAUACGAAGCGCUUGGUUCUCGAGUUGGGAUUACCAAUAGAGAAGAAGCAUUGCUGUUUUAAUGGCUGCUUGUUUUAUUGCGAGGAAGAUGUGAACUUAACUCUGUACAAGAUUGGUGGCCAUCAACGUUACAAAAGAUGGCAUGCCACUGAAAGCAGUCAAAGAAGGAAAAAAAUGUAUUACUUUCCUUUGACACAACGUCUUCUUAGAUUAUACGCUUCAAAAGCAACUGCUAAUGAAAUGAGGUGGCAUAUAGAGCAUGAGGUUGAGGACGGUGUAAUGCAACAUCCUUUAGGUUGCUUGAAAGCAUUUUAAUAAUGUUCAUCUUGAUGUCUCUUUUGAAAUCAGAAAUGUCCAUCUUGGCCUCUACAUAGAUGGAUUCCAACCUUUUAGACAGUUCGGUCAAUAAUACUUAUGCUGGUCAGUGAUAGUGAUAGUGUAUAAUCUACCCUCUUGGAUAUGUAUGAAAGGGACAUUGAUGUUUUCAAUCCUUAUUCUAGGACCUCGAAUCCUAAAACACAUGAUAGAUGUGUAUUUGUAGCCAUUGAUUAGUGAAUUAAAGUAGUUGUAGGACUAGGGGGUUCAAGCAUUUGACAUUUCUUGGAAUUAAAACUUUUAAUUAUAAGCAGUCUUAAUAUGGAGAAUGAACGACUUCCUCGCAUAUGCAAUGUUGUUAAGUUGGUCCACCACCGACCGUUUGGCUUAUCCUUAUUGCAUGGAGGACUCUGAUGCCUUUACCCUAAGUAAGAGUGGUAAGCAGUCACAGUUUGACAAUCACAGGAAGUUCUUAGAUACUGAUCAUCCUUUUAGAAGGAAUAGGUAUAGAUUUCAAAAAAAUCAAACUGCAACAAAAGUUAGAUCCCUAGUUAGAUUGAGAAAAGAAACAUUAGGUAUGCUUGAUGAUAUCAGAAUGAAAAAGGUAACAGAUGUAGAUAUGCUGAUGUAACGAAUGAUCCACUAAGUAAAUCAUGGGGCUGGAAAAAAUGAAGCAUCUUUUGGGAUUUGCCCUACUGGAGCUCCAAUCUAAUUCAGCAUGAUCUCCUUGAUAUUACACAUGUUUGCAUGCUUAAUUUUAAGUUUUUUAAGGCAAAUAAUGUGUUUUUGUAUUAAAAUCACCCUGUUUUAGUUUCCUUUAUGUCUCAAGUGUUUUUCUAGGUAUAUCAUCAAAGUUAGAGAGAAAUCAAACCAAAAUCGGAAAGAAACAGACGAAUCGGGUACGUUAGACUGUUCAACACUCCUUUCCAACACACCCGUGCUGAGGAGCACGGUCAGGGUCAGAGGGCAUGCAGAAAUGCCUUACCCUGGCAAGAAGAAGCAAUUUGCAACACGGUUUCCGAGAGUGACACAGGCAUAAUAGCAUGCCCGUGGUGAGCAGCACGGCCCAAUUCUACAUCAUGCUGAAGAAGGCCAGAUGUACAAUUUUAGCUUAACACAACAAGGAUCCAGGCCGUGCUGGUCAGCAGGGCCCAAAUCCAAGCUGUGUUGGAUUUUGAAAUCUAAUUUAAAAGAAAAGAAAAAGAAAGCAAAAAGGGAUAUCGAGGGAUUCUAGAGAGAGAAAUUUGGAGUAUUUAAGACAGACUUUGAGAGCAACCUUCCAGAUGAUCAAGAAGAGAAAAACAAAGACGAAUCCAUUUUAACAUCAUCCAAAUAGUUGUUUUUGAGGAUUGGAUUGAAGAUUCAAAGGAAAGAAGAUGGAGAUCUUGAGCUGUAGAGAUUGGAUCCAGAGUUAUUCAAAAGGGGAUAGCAUUUCCACCAUUUGAGAAAAGAGUGUUCAUGUUCUUUUCGAUUCUUAUUUAUUUUGUAUUUGAUUCUUGUAUUAGUUUAAUUAUGAACAUGUAUAACUAAUCUUAUUAAACCCAUUUAGGAGUGAUCUUUAGCUAUGCUAGGCUUGUUUUAGGCUUAAAUGAUUGGAUUGUUGAUUUAAGAUUGUAGUUUUCAUUCAAGUAUAACACAAUCUAUUGUUUCUUCUUCAUUGUUGAAUCAAUUUUAGAAAUCCUUUGUAAUUGAGAAAUUUAAUUGAGUUUGGACAACUGCUAGUAUGAUUAAGUGAUUUACAUCUUAGAGAUAAGUGUCAUAACUUACUAGAAUAAGAACUAGAC